GGACCUGUGGAGACCGGAAGCCCGCGGAGAGCUGCCUGAGGGAGCAGACCCACCUGGGGCUCUGCAGAGGGCCCUGCGUGGCCGGACCUUGCUCCCUGCAGAGGUUGGAUGGAGACCAGAAGAGAAGACACCUCCCACCCCUUUCAUUCCACAGGAUGCUCUCCUCUAACCAGGGGGACAAAUGAGGAUGGGCCAGAAUACUGAAGCCUUUCCCUUCUCCAGGGGAUCUUCCCAAUCCAGGGAUUGAACCCAGGUCUCCAGCAUUGCAGGUACUUCUACCAUCAAGAUGAAGAGGCUAGCCGUCCCACCCCUGCUCAAAGGGCAAUGGGAGAAAACUAGGACCUCAUGCACGAAUGGAGGCCUAAGUGGGAACAGCAGGUGGAGGUUUGCCCUGGGAAGACUCCCUCAUCAACCUGAAAGGGUCCCUUCUCCUCAGGCUUCCAGCACCCCAGGAAACUCCUCGUCUGGAUGGAGUUGAGUAGCUGAUCCUUUGUAACACCUCUAAUCCUGUAUAAAGAGCAGUAAAGCGUGUGUUUAUC
ensembl:lncRNA